GAUUAAGUUAUUAAGGGCGCACGGUGGAUGCCUUGGCACUAGAAGCCGAUGAAGGACGUUACUAACGACGAUAUGCUUUGGGGAGCUGUAAGUAAGCUUUGAUCCAGAGAUUUCCGAAUGGGGAAACCCAGCAUGAGUUAUGUCAUGUUAUCGAUAUGUGAAUACAUAGCAUAUCAGAAGGCACACCCGGAGAACUGAAACAUCUUAGUACCCGGAGGAAGAGAAAGAAAAUUCGAUUCCCUUAGUAGCGGCGAGCGAAACGGGAAGAGCCCAAACCAACAAGCUUGCUUGUUGGGGUUGUAGGACACUCUAUACGGAGUUACAAAGGACGACAUUAGACGAAUCAUCUGGAAAGAUGAAUCAAAGAAGGUAAUAAUCCUGUAGUCGAAAAUGUUGUCUCUCUUGAGUGGAUCCUGAGUACGACGGAGCACGUGAAAUUCCGUCGGAAUCUGGGAGGACCAUCUCCUAAGGCUAAAUACUCUCUAGUGACCGAUAGUGAACCAGUACCGUGAGGGAAAGGUGAAAAGCACCCCGGAAGGGGAGUGAAAUAGAACCUGAAACCGUGUGCUUACAAGUAGUCAGAGCCCGUUAAUGGGUGAUGGCGUGCCUUUUGUAGAAUGAACCGGCGAGUUACGAUUUGAUGCAAGGUUAAGCAGUAAAUGUGGAGCCGUAGCGAAAGCGAGUCUGAAUAGGGCGUUUAGUAUUUGGUCGUAGACCCGAAACCAGGUGAUCUACCCUUGGUCAGGUUGAAGUUCAGGUAACACUGAAUGGAGGACCGAACCGACUUACGUUGAAAAGUGAGCGGAUGAACUGAGGGUAGCGGAGAAAUUCCAAUCGAACCUGGAGAUAGCUGGUUCUCUCCGAAAUAGCUUUAGGGCUAGCCUCAAGUGAUGAUUAUUGGAGGUAGAGCACUGUUUGGACGAGGGGCCCCUCUCGGGUUACCGAAUUCAGACAAACUCCGAAUGCCAAUUAAUUUAACUUGGGAGUCAGAACAUGGGUGAUAAGGUCCGUGUUCGAAAGGGAAACAGCCCAGACCACCAGCUAAGGUCCCAAAAUAUAUGUUAAGUGGAAAAGGAUGUGGCGUUGCCCAGACAACUAGGAUGUUGGCUUAGAAGCAGCCAUCAUUUAAAGAGUGCGUAAUAGCUCACUAGUCGAGUGACACUGCGCCGAAAAUGUACCGGGGCUAAACAUAUUACCGAAGCUGUGGAUUGUCCUUUGGACAAUGGUAGGAGAGCGUUCUAAGGGCGUUGAAGCAUGAUCGUAAGGACAUGUGGAGCGCUUAGAAGUGAGAAUGCCGGUGUGAGUAGCGAAAGACGGGUGAGAAUCCCGUCCACCGAUUGACUAAGGUUUCCAGAGGAAGGCUCGUCCGCUCUGGGUUAGUCGGGUCCUAAGCUGAGGCCGACAGGCGUAGGCGAUGGAUAACAGGUUGAUAUUCCUGUACCACCUAUAAUCGUUUUAAUCGAUGGGGGGACGCAGUAGGAUAGGCGAAGCGUGCGAUUGGAUUGCACGUCUAAGCAGUAAGGCUGAGUAUUAGGCAAAUCCGGUACUCGUUAAGGCUGAGCUGUGAUGGGGAGAAGACAUUGUGUCUUCGAGUCGUUGA
rnacentral:rRNA from 1 species